rnacentral:rRNA from 1 species
UGGGGAAUUUUCCGCAAUGGGCGAAAGCCUGACGGAGUGGCGCCGCGUGUGGGACGAAGGCCUUCGGGUCGUAAACCACUGUCAGUGGGAAAGAUGGGUGCCGGUGUUAAUACCAUCGGCAUCUGACGGUACCUGCAGAGGAAGCCCCGGCCAACUCUGUGCCAGCAGCCGCGGUAAGACAGAGGGGGCAAGCGUUGCUCGGAAUUACUGGGCGUAAAGGGCGCGUAGGCGGGAUGGUAAGUCGGUCGUGAAAUCCCUCGGCUCAACCGAGGAACGUCGAUCGAUACUACCGUUCUUGAGGAUUGCAGAGGAGACUGGAAUUCCCGGUGUAGCGGUGAAAUGUGUAGAGAUCGGGAGGAACACCGGUGGCGAAGGCGGGUCUCUGGGCAAUUCCUGACGCUGAGGCGCGAAAGCGUGGGGAGCAAACGGGAUUAGAUACCCACGUAGUCCCUGAGCGGGCUGGCAAGGCGCAU